CUCCCACCCAGCUCCCCGCUACUAACUCACCAGGAGACUCAACCGCAACAAGGCCCUCAGUUCUCAGGCUCCACUUCUCAGCAGUAAAAUCCAGUAAACUCCAGAGGUUUGAAUGAGGCAUGUGGAAUCUUAGCUCCCUGACCGGAGGUCGAACCCACACCCAGUGCAUUGGAAGGAGAAGAAGCCUCAACCAUUGUACUGCCAGGGAAGUCACUGAUGGUACUUUUUAAAGCACAAGUUUUUCUGGACUUCUCUUAAAUGAAGGUGAAAUAAAUUGCUGUCAUGUCUAAGACUA